UGUCGUGAUGUGCAUAGGUUUCCUGAAGUUUGUAUUAUAUAUUCUUAAUUUAUUCAUCAUAUUUGUUUAUUAAAGAUCCAGGCCAGCUUUUGCUCAACCAUAAUGCCGCAUUGCCUGCAGCAGUUUCACUCAUUCUGGCUGUUGGAAGGAGAUGCUGCCACACCCCGCUGAGUUUCUCCAGCAAUUUUGUCGACCUCAGGAUGAUGCUGCCUGACCCAGAGUUCCUCCAGCACAUUGUAUUUGAAUCGAGGCUAAUUCAUAAUGGGAGGGGGAGUUUAAGUGCUGUGCCACCGAGAGAUCACGGUGCCACCGGGAAAUCAGAAGCGAUCGCCAAGCCUGUCUCACCGAGGUUGAUCAUACGCUGAAUAAUCCAACCAGAUUUUUGUUUGGAAGUGGAAAGAAAUAAUAGAAAUUGCAUUCAUUGCAACAUGUAAAAAGAGAUGAGAUACAGUACAGUAUUGUAAUUUUGCUGCAUGUCAUUGUGGUAUAUAUAUAUAUUGGUGAAUAUGUUUAGUUUGUGACUUUAUUUGAAGCAUAAAUAAUAUGUGAAUGCUUCAUUGACCCUAAUUCUGACUAGUAACAACACACUUCGUCCAAGCACAUUAUCGCACGUGUCAUGCAAGCCGUCUUAAAUGAUCAGCUAAACUGUAAUUUGGCAACCUAAAAAGCUGCCUAGGUUGCCCUGCUGGCAACAGAGGGAAAAAAAGCUAAGUGAGAGCCCUGUGAGACAUCAUCAAUACCUGGGAUGUACAGAAUAAAGUGCAACUCACCAAAAUCUAACACUCGCUUGCUUGACGUGAUCUUGUUGAAGAAUCUUUAUGGAAUCUAAUGAACUAGGCCCUUUGUAAGAUGGACAGGAACCACAUAUGUCAUGUUAUGGGGAUGAAUCAAAAUAUGCUUGGUAUCAUUAAUCAAUAGGUUUCAUUGAUAGUGUGGCAUGCUUGCCAGUCCUCACUGUGAACUUGUUUUGGGAUGUAACAUUUAUAUUUACAGCACAGUCCUCAACAUCCAAGAACAGAUCUGGGGUAUUGUGAUCAGUCAUAGAAACACCUUGAUCAGGGUGGAGAAAUACAAACAGCAAUAACAUAAAAGAGCUGGCUCAAUUCACUUUGACCACAAAAUAUUCAAGUUUAACUGCAUAUCUUUUUAAGACACAAAAUUGACAAGAAAUUAACAAUGUCACAAGAGCCCCAAGUGUAUAAAUGCAUAGAGCAUUCCCAUCACAAAUAAAGCCAUGAAAAAUCCAACACAAAAUUGGACUUAAGUCUAACCUACUUUGGAAAUUUAACAU